rnacentral:rRNA from 1 species
UACGAAGGGGGCUAGCGUUGCUCGGAAUCACUGGGCGUAAAGGGUGCGUAGGCGGGUCUUAAGUCAGGGGUGAAAUCCUGGAGCUCAACUCCAGAACUGCCUUUGAUACUGAAGAUCUUGAGUUCGGGAGAGGUGAGUGGAACUGCGAGUGUAGAGGUGAAAUUCGUAGAUAUUCGCAAGAACACCAGUGGCGAAGGCGGCUCGCUGGCCCGAUACUGACGCUGAGGCACGAAAGCGUGGGGAGCAAACAGG